UACAGAGGGUGCGAGCGUUAAUCGGAAUUACUGGGCGUAAAGCGUGCGUAGACGGUUAUUUAAGUCGGGUGUGAAAGCCCCGGGCUCAACCUGGGAAUUGCAUUCGAGACUGAAUAGCUAGGGUACGGUAGAGGGAAGCGGAAUUUCCGGUGUAGCGGUGAAAUGCGUAGAUAUCGGAAGGAACAUCAGUGGCGAAAGCGGCUUCCUGGACCAGUACCGACGUUCAGGCAUGAAAGCGUGGGGAGCAAACAGG
rnacentral:rRNA from 1 species